rnacentral:lncRNA from 1 species
CUCCUGCAGCAACCAGCUUGAUACCAUUUUCUUGGACUUACUUUUAUCAGCAAAAGGUCAUUGAUUAUUGAUAAAUUCUCCUCCCUGCAUGAUGAUCAAGGGACGACACAUUUAAAGAGAUGAUUUUAGCCUUUAAGAAUGAAAUUUAUUGCAGUUUUAUAUAUUUACAUUUGACAGUACUAAAACGAAGUUGUUACGAUAUUCUAAUUUUCAACACAAUUACCAUAAAUUGAAAGUUUUAACUUUUUAAAUAUGCGAAAACUUUCACAUUAUAAAAUUCAAAAACAAGCAUUCUUAAUCAUCAUGUCCAAAUCCACUAAUAUUUACCUCACAUCUUCGUAACUCCAAAUAAGAAUGCAACAAAAAUUAGAUGGUAAGUAAGCAACAAAAAUUAGAUGGUAAGUAAACAACAAACAAGAAAUCGGGAAAAAAGACAAUCAACACACGGUAUAAUCACCCAGCUGCCUGGGGUUCGGCUAACCACCGCCUGCUACGCUAUUGAGCCAUACGGAGGUUAAUUAACGUUGCCUUUGCAUUAAUUAACCUCUAUAGGUUUGCAUUGUUAUAUCAAGAAUUGUAGUUUACAAAAAAGAGUUCAGACCAAAAAACCUUACGAUCUACACAAGUCUAGAUGAUUCCAGACCUGUCUCAACCAAAAUCGUCCUCGUUGAAUGCAAUACACACCAUGAGAAACAAUAAAAGAACUACUGUUUACAAAUAAUCUCAUUACAGUCUUCAUUCAAAAAGCUGAAACUAAACUCAGAAAUUACGAAGAAAAGAAAGAGCAUUUGAAUGCUUCUUUAUGGCUGCACAGAG